rnacentral:rRNA from 2 species
GCUCAGGAUGAACGCNGGCGGCGUGCNUAAUACAUGCAAGUCGAACGAGUUCUGAUUAUUGAAAGGUGCUUGCAUCUUGAUUUAAUUUUGAACGAGUGGCGGACGGGUGAGUAACACGUGGGUAACCUGCCCUUAAGUGGGGGAUAACAUUUGGAAACAGAUGCUAAUACCGCAUAAAUCCAAGAACCGCAUGGUUCUUGGCUGAAAGAUGGCGUAAGCUAUCGCUUUUGGAUGGACCCGCGGCGUAUUAGCUAGUUGGUGAGGUAACGGCUCACCAAGGCAAUGAUACGUAGCCGAACUGAGAGGUUGAUCGGCCACAUUGGGACUGAGACACGGCCCAAACUCCUACGGGAGGCAGCAGUAGGGAAUCUUCCACAAUGGACGCAAGUCUGAUGGAGCAACGCCGCGUGAGUGAAGAAGGCUUUCGGGUCGUAAAACUCUGUUGUUGGAGAAGAAUGGUCGGCAGAGUAACUGUUGUCGGCGUGACGGUAUCCAACCAGAAAGCCACGGCUAACUACGUGCCAGCAGCCGCGGUAAUACGUAGGUGGCAAGCGUUAUCCGGAUUUAUUGGGCGUAAAGCGAGCGCAGGCGGUUUUUUAAGUCUGAUGUGAAAGCCCUCGGCUUAACCGAGGAAGUGCAUCGGAAACUGGGAAACUUGAGUGCAGAAGAGGACAGUGGAACUCCAUGUGUAGCGGUGAAAUGCGUAGAUAUAUGGAAGAACACCAGUGGCGAAGGCGGCUGUCUGGUCUGUAACUGACGCUGAGGCUCGAAAGCAUGGGUAGCGAACAGGAUUAGAUACCCUGGUAGUCCAUGCCGUAAACGAUGAAUGCUAGGUGUUGGAGGGUUUCCGCCCUUCAGUGCCGCAGCUAACGCAUUAAGCAUUCCGCCUGGGGAGUACGACCGCAAGGUUGAAACUCAAAGGAAUUGACGGGGGCCCGCACAAGCGGUGGAGCAUGUGGUUUAAUUCGAAGCAACGCGAAGAACCUUACCAGGUCUUGACAUCUUUUGAUCACCUGAGAGAUCAGGUUUCCCCUUCGGGGGCAAAAUGACAGGUGGUGCAUGGUUGUCGUCAGCUCGUGUCGUGAGAUGUUGGGUUAAGUCCCGCAACGAGCGCAACCCUUAUGACUAGUUGCCAGCAUUUAGUUGGGCACUCUAGUAAGACUGCCGGUGACAAACCGGAGGAAGGUGGGGAUGACGUCAAAUCAUCAUGCCCCUUAUGACCUGGGCUACACACGUGCUACAAUGGAUGGUACAACGAGUUGCGAGACCGCGAGGUCAAGCUAAUCUCUUAAAGCCAUUCUCAGUUCGGACUGUANGCUGCAACUCGCCUACACGAAGUCGGAAUCGCUAGUAAUCGCGGAUCAGCACGCCGCGGUGAAUACGUUCCCGGGCCUUGUACACA